rnacentral:rRNA from 1 species
AACGGACCCUCGAGAAGGACGGUCCUCGCUCCGCGGUCUCCGCGGCGCCCGACGCACUUCUCCCCGCACUCUGGACGCCGCAACCGAUCGGGUAGCUGCGAGAGUCGGCCGUGGGGCCGUCCCAGGCAGGUGGCCGGUACCGUCGCCUCGUGCGGCGGUUCCGGUUAUUCACGGGGCGGUUCGUGGCGCGACACCCGAUCGAGGUCGACGUUCCCCCUACGGGGAACAAUCCGUCUCCGUCCUAACGGGCGCGGCGGCCGGGACAGUGAGCGCCGGCGAUGCCGAACCACUCCUCGUAGUGGCCGGUGCGUCGGUUGCCGCCGUUGGUUCCGGUCGUGCCGCUGCGGGACGACGCGGGUUGCGGCGAGUAGGUCGGUCACCCACCCGACCCGUCUUGAAACACGGACCAAGGAGUCUAACAUGUGCGCGAGUCGCAGGGUCUUGAACAGGCCCUCGGGCGCAAUGAAAGUGACGGUCCUCGCGACCGAGUUGGGACUCCCGUCGGAGACGGCGGGAAGCACCAACGACCCGUCCCUUCCGAUCCGUCGGUGGGGCG